rnacentral:rRNA from 1 species
GUAGGUGGCAAGCGUUGUCCGGGAAUUAUUGGGGCGUAAAGCGCGCGCAGGCGGUUCUUUAAGUCUGAUGUGAAAGCCCACGGGCUCAACCGUGGAGGGUCAUUGGAAACUGGAGAACUUGAGUACAGAAGAGGAAAGCGGAAUUCCACGUGUAGCGGUGAAAUGCGUAGAGAUGUGGAGGAACACCAGCGGCGAAGGCGGCUUUCUGGUCUGUAACUGACGCUGAGGCGCGAAAGCGUGGGGAGCAAACAGGAUUAGAUACCCUGGUAGUCCACGCCGUAAACGAUGAGUGCUAAGUGUUAGGGGGUUUCCGCCCCUUAGUGCUGCAGCUAACGCAUUAAGCACUCCGCCUGGGGAGUACGGCCGCAAAGGCUGA